UUAAUAUUUACUAAAGAAAUUGUUGUCCAAUGUUUACCAGUAAAUACUGGCAUGGCUGGUAAGUUGACAGUAUAUUUACUGGUAAUUAACAUUGGACAUAAACAUUUUCAGUCAACAUUGCUCAGAAUAAUUCCAACUGCCAGUUGCAGUAAAAAUAAUAAUCUAAACAUUUUAUUUAGAUCAUAGAUCAUGAACAGGAUUUUUUUUUUAAUAUUUUCGUUAUGUAAAGUACAAGUAUUAGUUCACAAUUGGUAAAAUAUUAUACAACAUAAUCCUCAAAAAGGAAGAGAUACUUGACUUCGAUUAUAUAGACAUUGCAGCUGUCGCCAGGUCGCUACAAGGGGAGAUAAAAGCGCGCAUUUCCGGUAUUGUCAGAAUUCGCCAUGUUGGUUUUUUCCGGUCCAGCACGGUGUGGUGUGAUAAGUUCAUGUGACAAACUGCACAGUUCCGAUUUAAUUUGAAGGCCACUUAUUUUUCACUGAAAGGUACAUUAUUGGUGUAUUGAAGAAGAAGAAGAAGCAGCAGGGGCGGGGGAUAAAUUCAUGUUAACUGGUGGGGAAAUUAAGGCGGACAUUGAUGAUGGCUCUUUAACUUUUGACGACACAUCAUAAGGAACCUCCAGGAUCAAAGACAAGUAGAGUAAAAGAUAUAAAUUGUAAUUAUGUGUUCUGUUAUUUUUGUUUCACAUUUUAAGAACAGACUAUAGAAUAAGAGUUAUUCCCCUUCCUUUAUGAACAUUAAAUUUUUUUGUUGGUUUUAAAUUGGGUUAUUUCCCUUGGUGAUCAUAAUCCACUGCCAGACCCAUAUAUUCAAAUGCAAAUUAACAAUGAUCUACAUUCAAUGAAUCAAAAUAUUUGUUACUUAUCACAUU